GUUGUUUUGGUUGACACACAUGAAGAAAAUCUAGCCCUACACAGAUAAGUAUUUGGAAAAUGAAAGAAUAAUUUGUAUGUUUUAUAGCCUUUUCAGAUAGUUGUGUAUAUUCUUCUUUGACUUUAUACUAAACUCCACAAUGGUAAUUCUAAGUGUUAGUUGCAAUGUGGAAUCUACAAUCAUAUAAUUCUUUCCAGUGGUGCAAUCUUUACAAUACUAUUGAUCCUUUUCAUUACUGUAGGGGAUCCAUCAACAGAUGCCCAUUUAUAGGAUUCUCAGAAGCAACAAAUAAUAGGAUUUGGAAGAAAUAGAUAAUAAUUCUGUUAGUAGUCGAAACCUGCAAAUAUAUAAUAUAUCUAAAUAUGUAAUUUUUAAAAAAUCUAUGCCAGAACACCUUUCCUUACACUAGCAAAAGAAUUUUAUCUGAUGUUAACAGGCCAAAGACCAUUUCUACUUCUGCAAAGUGUGAUCAUAAUACAGCAAAAUAUUAUUAAAUAUAAAAUCUAUAUUCUCAACACAUUAGAGAAAUAAGGAAACAACUUUGGAAGGCAUAUUUAAAAAACCUUCCUAGGCUGUGUUCAUCACCAUAUGGUUUGUAGACCAGAGUUCUGUCAUUUAAACACCCAAAUCAUCAAUAAACACUACUUGAUAAUUAGGGAGCUAAGACAAUUUUAAUUUUCACCCUCACUGAAUACCCCAUAGUUGUAUGAGGUUUCCAGAGAACCCAAGUAUGGCCAUUUUGCUGUCUCUUCCACACUGCCAUGUAGUAUAGUAUCCCCAGGAAGAUUUGCUGGACAGAUACAACCCAGAAGAACAGAUCAGGCCUUUAAUCAAAAUAACUUUAAUCUGGUAGCUCCAAACCUCAACAGAACUGUAAAUCAUGAGUCCUUUCACACUCUUUAGUUAAAAAAAAAAAAAAUUGUGGGCAAAGAGAUCUGAUCAAAAAAGAGGAUAAGAGUGUCACAGAAUCCUUCCGUACAGAAAACCAUAGCCAAGAACAGCAUGGGAAGGCUCUGGAGACAAAAAGCUUAGUGUUAUUUUGUUGCUUUCUGGGAAGUAUAGACUGGAAAGUCUGAUAAGAAGACAAGACAGAAAAAUCGUUUUGUGAGUUAAUGAGGUAUUUUUCUCCCAGGCUCUGCCAGGUGAGUAUUACUUAUAAUUAAGUCAUCUUGCUAUAGACUUUUAUCUGAUUCAAACUCACCCCAAAUGGCUUAUUGAGUGUAAGGAAAGUGGCUUCUCUUGCUCCUCUUCUGACUUCUUUCUCUACUUCACCCUUCUCCACCUCUCUGUGGGUUGGGAUAGGCAGCACAGUAAAGAGGGAAUGAGCAUAGGUUUUGGAGUCAAAGCAACUUGAAUGGAAUUCCUACUCUGCUACUCAAUGCUGUGUGAUUGUGGGAAAGUUAUUUAAAUUAGCAGAACCUCAGUUUAUUUACAUAUAAAAGAAAACUAGUAAUUGUGUCCACCUCAUAGAUUAUGGUAUUAAAUGAGAAAAUUCAUGCAAAGAACUGACAUGAGCCAAGGCCUGUCUCCUACUGAGAGUUCAGUUAUCUUAGAGACCAUUAUCAUCAUUAUUAUGAUACUAGAGCUUGGAGUACUGUUCUAUCCCUUAAGCUCCCAUGUGUUUGAGCCCAGUUCUUGAGGAAAUGUUUCAAAUAAAAUGUCAAGUAGGUGUGUAUUCCAGGAAGUUUGCUUUCACAAAUGUUUUAUCUCCUUUAUCUGUCUUGUUCUAAAAUAUAUGUGUUUAUAUCACACAUAUACUAAACUUGGCCAAUUGGCCAGCCAAACAAAUGUAUUUCAUGUACAUUAAUGAGGAAAAAAUUAAAUGUUUUAUAGUUUAUAGCAGUAAAAAGCUCAACAAAGCCCCAAACAGUUAAAGUUUUCAAGACUGUAACUCUUUCUAGUCUUGAAACAAUUAAAACAUCAUUUGAGGAAUCAAUAAGUAAAUGCAUAAUUCUCUGAAAAAGAAAGAAAACAAUAUCAAGAUUCAAUUACAGGCAUUCAAGGAUUCUUUCUUUUGCCUUCAGAAGCCAGCAAAAUGAUAAUUUCAGAAUUUCUCAAAUAAGACUGUGCUUUUAAACAUGUCUUUGGUCUCAUUGGUUAAUGGUUUCUUCGCAUCAUAUU
rnacentral:lncRNA from 1 species